rnacentral:rRNA from 1 species
UUGGAUGUUCUUCCUGCUGUGGCGGUACGGAUCGGUGAACCGUAGCUGUGCAAGGCUUGGCGUUUGAACCGGCGGUGUUGUGGCGAAGUAGAGUGGCGGCUUCGGCUGUCGAGGGUCGAUCCAUUUGGGAACUCUGUGUCUUUUCUUGCGGCGCACGUUUGUGUGGUUGCGGGGG